CGGAACAGCCGGACGGCCGCCGUAACAGUUUUGUUAGGGAGGAAAGUCCGAACACCAAAGGGCAGCGAGCCGGAUAACGUCCGGGCACCCGUUAAUUCGGGUGACGACAAGUGCAACAGAGAACAGACCAGCCCUUCAGGGUGAUGGGUGAAACGGUGGGGUAAGAGCCCACCGGCAUAUCUGGUAACAGGUAUGGCCAGGCAAACUCCUCGCGGUGCAAGACCAAAUAGGGAAACGUUUUCGGGCGGCCCGCCCGCAACGCCGAAAGGCGGACGUUUCCGGGUAGGUUGCUGGAGCCGACGGGUGACCGCCGGCCUAGAUGAAUGGCCGUCAUUCUCUACGAGGAUACAGAAUUCGGCUUACAGGCUGUUCCGCCAA
rnacentral:RNase_P_RNA from 1 species